rnacentral:rRNA from 1 species
UUAUUUACACCUGCUAGACGACGCUGGCGCAGGCUAACACAUGCAUUCGAGCGGGCCUCAGGUCAGCGCGAACGUAGACGCGUGGUACGGCCUUCUGGUUCGGAAUACCUGGGAACUAGGGCUAUUCCGGAUACGCCUUUGGGGAAAGGUUAACUCCGGUAGAUCGCCCGCGUCUGAUAAGCAAGUUGAUGGGGUAACGGCUACAAGCCGACGAUCAAUUGGCUGGUCUAAGAGGAUGAUCAGCCACACUGGGACUGAGACACGGGCCAAGCUUCCACCGGGAGGCCAGCAGUGGGGAAAUAUUUGGCCAAUGGGGCGCAAGCGUGGUUAGCCCUGCCGGGUAAGUGAUGAAGGCCCUAGGGGUUGUAAAGGCUUUUUUCUCCGGGUCGUAUAAUGACGUUUUCCGGGAGGAUUAUGCCCCGGCCUAAACGAAUAACCCCCGACUACCGGUUAACCGAAGGCGCGGCUAACGCGAAUGGGGCUUUCCUUGCUCGUAAUCACUGGGCGUAACGGCGUUUUGACUCGUUUUAAGUCGGGGUUGAACUCCUGUCGCUCAACCACAGAAUAGCCUUCGAUACUGGCGCUUUAUUAUGAGGGUGUGUAAACUCGAGUUAGAGGUGAAAUUCGUAGAUACCCCAAGAACACCGGUGCGAAGGCGGCCAACCUGGACCAUUUCUGCGCUAAGGGGGGCCAAAAAUAGCCCGGGAU